rnacentral:rRNA from 1 species
AGUGAACGCUGGCGGCAGGCCUAAUACAUGCAAGUCGAACGGCAGCACGGCAGAGCUUGCUCUGUGGGUGGCGAGUGGCGGACGGGUGAGGAAUACAUGGGAAUCUGCCCAGUCGUGGGGGAUAACGUAGGGAAACUUACGCUAAUACCGCAUGCGCCCUUCGGGGGAAAGCCGGGGACCUUCGGGCCUGGCGCGAUUGGAUGAGCCCAUGUCGGAUUAGCUAGUUGGCGGGGUAAUGGCCCACCAAGGCGACGAUCCGUAGCUGGUCUGAGAGGAUGAUCAGCCACACUGGAACUGAGACACGGUCCAGACUCCUACGGGAGGCAGCAGUAGGGAAUAUUGGACAAUGGGCGCAAGCCUGAUCCAGCCAUGCCGCGUGAGUGGAGAAGGCCCUCGGGUUGUAAAGCUCUUUUGUCCGGAAAGAAAAGCGCCGGGUUAAUACCCUGGUGUCCUGACGGUACCGGAAGAAUAAGCACCGGCUAACUUCGUGCCAGCAGCCG